rnacentral:rRNA from 1 species
CCUACGGGGCGCAGCAGUAGGGAAUCUUCCACAAUGGGCGGGAGCCUGAACCAGCCAAGUCGCGUGAAGGAAGAAGGUACUUAGUAUUGUAAACUUCUUUUGUCGGGGAACAAAGGCGGAGACGCGUCUCCGGAUGAGUGUACCCGAAGAAAAAGCAUCGGCUAACUCCGUGCCAGCAGCCGCGGUAAUACGGAGGAUGCGAGCGUUAUCCAGAUUUAUUGGGUUUAAAGGGUGCGCAGGCGGGAGAUCAAGUCAGUGGUAAAAUGUUGGGGCUCAACCCCGGCCG